AUGGCGGCUUCUUCUUCCUCAGUUCGUUCCAGAGAUAGACGCCAACACCUGCCGCUCAUCAUGUGCCCUGAUUGCCAGGAGGUCAGGGUGGAGACAAACAUCUGUAGCAAAGAAGGGCCGAACGAGGGGAGGCGCUUCUACAAGCGCCCGAUCGACAGUGGCCCAGACAAGUGCGGCUGGUUCAGGUGGGAAGAUGUUUACGCCGGAAUCAUUCGGCGGAGGGAAGCUCGCCUGAGGUAUGGAGACCCAUACGGUGUCCAAGGUUCGAGCCAAGGCAUGGCUGGACAUGCUACGCAGACGCAGCCGGAGCAGGCACCCGAGAUCGUCAGGCAGCCGCGGACUGAGCAAGCACAGGCCAGGGGAGGCCGCGACUGGCUCGUUAUCUGCCUCAUGGUGAUCAACAUGAUCUUCACCCUGACCAUCCUUUCACGGGUGUGA
rnacentral:rRNA from 1 species